GAGCGGUUUUGACACCGUGGGUUUUGAUGUAGUUUGGAGUAUGUGCCAGGAGAUUCGUUGAUAGUAGUGCGGUUUGACCCUGUUGAGUGGCUCAAUAGCACAUAUUUGCAUUUACUAAAGAUGGUCCAGCUUAGUAUUUUCAAAGCGAUCGCAGCGUAGUUUCUUCAUCGUGACAAAAAAGCAGCUUAUAGCGAUGUUCAGAAAUGGCCGAUCAGUUCCGCAGUUCGCUGUUGCUUCGCGCUUCGACGGCUGCACGCUUGUUGCGCCUCACCAACAAACUCGUGCUUGGCGAAGAAGUGCCGUGGCUUCAAGACUGAACGGGCAAAACAGGCAUGGAAAGUGGGUAGAUGCUUCCUUAUGGCUACCUUUCUCAAAGGGUCUGCCGAUGACCUUUGGAUCUGCUAGUGUGCCUCCUGGAUGAUCACGGGAGAAUUAGUGUUUCCUUGAGACUGAUUUGGAGCUGCCCAUUCUUGCUUCAGCAUGACUGGUGAAUUAUCAUGGUCGCUCACACAUUGGGCUACGCAUCAUUGCUUACGGGAGUCUCCGUAUUGAGUGGCCAGACUGUCUGAAUUCCUGGCGUCCCGUGCAACUUUCUAGAACGCCAAGGCUGUAUUCCAGUGCUGUGCCUGAACCUGUGCCUUGACCGGAAGCUCUGCUGGGAACAGUAGCCGUGCCUGCGGUGCUGACACUCUUCUGCGGCCACGCCUCGUGUUAGGCCACCCACGCCGUUAUGCCACGAUGUCGUCCGGGUCAUCAAGACCGACCAGUAAGCCCUGCUGCUUUGCUACAACUACAGUUCCGCAGACUUUGAGUGCUUGACUGACGACAGGGUCUAGUAUACUCUAGGAUGUUCAUGUCUAUGUUAUAAAUGUUAGUGCCGGCCAUGUCCUUUGUUUUGUUUCAUUGAAGUGUCCCUCUGUGUCUUUUGGUGCGUUCUUCGUUUGGCCAACCUGUGCUCACAUUCGGAUUCCCACUCAUGUACAGAGAUGCUCAAAAAAGUGGACGAAGACCUGUUAUGACACUUUGGUUAGUUGAG